rnacentral:lncRNA from 1 species
AUUCUUAAUUUAUAUUAUUUACUGAUCAAGAUAUGAAAUGUACAAUCUGAUUAGAAUACAAUCCUGUGUCCAAGCACUGUUUACAAGGAUCUGAAAAACUCUCCAUUCCAUGUUCUGUUUUUAAGACCUUUCUGAAACCUCUUGUUUUGUUGUACUAAUAUUAAACAAAUUCAAAAUUUAGAAGGCUGAAAUUUUAUUGGCUGAUGUAAUUAUUGCCAGAACUGAAACUACAAUAGAGUGUUGUCAGAUCCUUAAAAGCAAAGCUUUAAAAAGGGAACUGUAUGAUACUAGUAUUCAGAUUGUGAAAGGUUCAUAGCAUUGGCAAUAUGAUUAAACAUGCUGUAUAUUAAAAGUAAAUCAUUCCAACUUUGGUACCAGGAUUCCAUUUUAUUAUUUUAGAAGUUUGUGAUUGCGAAGAGUUGUUAUAAAUGUUUGUAUGGUAUUUUUAUGUUAUUUUUUAUGAAAUAGUGUAUUUUUAGAACUGCAGAAAAAGAAAAUUUUAUAUCAUUGUUUUGACUGUGUAACUGUUUUUUUGCUUAUAUUUGAUUCACAUUGACUUAUCUUUGUGAACAUGAGGGUUCUGGUACUUAUUGAUUGGCCACAUUUAUUUCCUUCAUCAACACAGGUGGAUUGUAAUAUGUAGUAUGUUUUUUGCAUAAAGUUGUAGAAAUAAACAGACAAAUAUUAAUGCAAUGUUUUUAUUAUUGCGAAAAAUGCAACAGGGUUAUAAUCGCUAUAAUUUAAGAUUGAAAUUUUUUAUAUCACAAAAACUAAAAUAGCAUUAUAGUCUAAAAUGACAAAAUUGCAACAAUAAAUGUAGGCAGUAAUUUCUGAAUAUACAGUAGUGGAUUUUAAACCUUUAUAGAAGCAAGUUUGACAGAUGAAUGUUUAAUGCUGUAAGUAUUUACAGGUAAUUCCAUUUUGUGUAUUUUAUAUUUGUUUUUAUUUAAACUGCAAUAUUUAUCAUGGAUGUAGAUUAUUUACAUUAUUUAUAUUCUUUUUUGUGUUACAGCUAAUUUCCUAAUGCAUGCAGGGUAAGACUCUGGUUAGCUUGCUUGCUUUGUAUAUUGACAAUUGUAAUUGGGAUAAUUUUCAAUCAAAUUUAAAUAUAAUAUAAACUUGUUUAAUAAUACCUGUCUAUAUUGUUUGGAGAUGUUAAUCUUAAUAACAAUGCUUAAGCUAACCUUUAUACAAACAAAGCAUGCAAGCCAGCGAAAGUUUUUCUUUACAAGCAUUAGGAAAUCAGCUGUAAAUCAUGACAUAUAUUUGUUUUGAUAUUGUUUGAUUUUGUCUAUAAAGAUGCUUUAAUUUUACAUAAAAAAAGGUAAUAAAAUAAAUAUUUAAGAAAC